rnacentral:lncRNA from 1 species
GUUUCUUCAUCUCUCUGAGUUCUGACGACUGCGUCUUGCUGACAGGCUUGGAAAGAGACUCUGUACCUGGUGGAUGUGGUGAUUAUCUUCUCACACCCUCUCAUGGUCUCCCAAACAAGUAGUGGGUGAACAGCUGGCUCUGCAGGUCAGGGGGCUUUUUGUGCUUCUAGGUCCCAAGGAUGGAGGACAGAAGUGCCGUGUGGACCUGGCUGCCUAUCUCUGAGCCUGCUCGCUCUCCUCAGGCACCUGCCCUGGGCUCCAGGCUUGCAGCACCACCAUCUGCUUCUGGCCUUUUGCAGGUACUUUUCCCUCCACUUGGUGCCCUUACCACGAUCCUGGGUAACCUGUUGAUAAGAGUGUUUUGUAUCCUGAAGCCUUGGGCUGUAUCAGUGUGAACUCUUGGGCAUGGGGAGCUUAAAACUAAGUAACUAAGGUCAGCCAUGCAACACUCCAUGCCUACGUGACUGAACCCAGCAAAACCUGGAUACAAAGGCUCAGGUGAACUUCCUUGGAUGGCAACACUUUGCACAUUGCUCUCUGUGAGAUUCCACUAGGACAGGGCACCUGGAAGCUCAUACCUGCUUUCUCCUGAACUUCACCCCAUACACCUUUCCUCUUGCUAACUUUUAAUCUGUAUCCUUUCACUGUAAUAAACCAUAUCUAUGAGUAUAAUAGCUUUUCUGAGUCCUGUGACUCCUUCUAGUGAACUAUCGAGCCUGAGGAUGGCCUUGGAGACCUGGGCACGCUGGGUGACUGGUUGAACCGGCUAGGCUCAAUUUCUCCAAGCUCUGCUCUCCAUCUGCUAUCAUCACCCUGGCUUCUGAAAGUCUGUGGUGGUAUCCACUGGGAGAAGUGGACCAUGUAUCUUCCAAAUUAUUACAAGGAAAACCCAAACACAGAAUAAGAACCACAAGAACAAAACAUAGGCCACAAAGUGGAUAAAAGUAAUAAAAGAUACCUUAAAACCAGAAAGCAAGCACACUAUUCUGCCACACUGAGACGUGCUGGUUAGAGGGUUUGUUGUUGUUUCAGGUACCACUGAGAGGGGCAGAAAGUUA